rnacentral:sRNA from 1 species
UUUCAAAAGAUAUAAUUUAGCAUUGAUUUUCUUGCAACUAUAGUGAGUGAGACUUCAGAGAUUAUAAAUUGUAUUGUAUUUCGUUCAGCUGGUCUUUCAAUAUCCCUGGCUCUCACAGUGUUUCAGACACUGUACAACAUAUUCAUGUUUACAAGGAACUACAGAUAUCACAUGUUGAAAUUAUUUCAAGGAGACACCAAAUUUCUGGCUGACUGGAAAUCUUCUGCAAAUUCGAAACUAAUGUCCAGUUUUAACUGUGUUGGUUACGUCAUUGUCUUCUCAGUUUCCAGUAAGUACAUCUAUAU